UUCAGCAGAGUAAGAUCGAUUUCCCCGACAGAUCGUGUUGGUUUCUCCGCCAGUAGCCAUCUAACUCACUCCUAGUUAGAGUUUCCUCAUGGUUUUUAAGCAGCUAUUUGUGUUUUCCUCUGUAUGGUUGUCGCCCAUUUGAUAUGGUUUUGACCUAAAAUUCCCUGCAGAUGUGAUAAUAUUUCCUUUCCUCAGUAGAUC
rnacentral:lncRNA from 1 species